AGUGAACGCUGGCGGUAGGCCUGACACAUGCAAGUCGAACGGCAGCACAGUAAGAGCUUGCUCUUACGGGUGGCGAGUGGCGGACGGGUGAGGAAUACAUCGGAAUCUACUUUUUCGUGGGGGAUAACGUAGGGAAACUUACGCUAAUACCGCAUACGACCUACGGGUGAAAGCAGGGGAUCUUCGGACCUUGCGCGAUUGAAUGAGCCGAUGUCGGAUUAGCUAGUUGGCGGGGUAAAGGCCCACCAAGGCGACGAUCCGUAGCUGGUCUGAGAGGAUGAUCAGCCACACUGGAACUGAGACACGGUCCAGACUCCUACGGGAGGCAGCAGUGGGGAAUAUUGGACAAUGGGCGCAAGCCUGAUCCAGCCAUACCGCGUGGGUGAAGAAGGCCUUCGGGUUGUAAAGCCCUUUUGUUGGGAAAGAAAAGCAGCAGGUUAAUACCCCGCUGUUCUGACAGUACCCAAAGAAUAAGCACCGGCUAACUUCGUG
rnacentral:rRNA from 1 species